rnacentral:rRNA from 1 species
UACGAAAGGGGCUAGCGUUGGUCGUAAUUACUGGGCGUAAAGCGCACGUAGGCGGCCAUGUAAGUUGGGGGUGAAAUCCCGGGGCUCAACCCCGGAACUGCCUUCAAAACUACAUAGCUAGAGGAUGUGAGAGGAUAGUGGAAUUCCGAGUGUAGAGGUGAAAUUCGUAGAUAUUCGGAAGAACACCGGUGGUGAAGGCGACUGUCUGGCACAUUUCUGACGCUGAGGUGCGAAAGCGUGGGGAGCAAACAGG